CAGUCGCCACGGUAAUACGAAGGGGGCUAGCGUUGCUCGGAAUUACUGGGCGUAAAGGGCGCGUAGGCGGACAGUUAAGUUGGGGGUGAAAGCCCGGGGCUCAACCUCGGAAUUGCCUUCAAUACUGGCUGUCUUGAGUAUGAGAGAGGUGUGUGGAACUCCGAGUGUAGAGGUGAAAUUCGUAGAUAUUCGGAAGAACACCAGUGGCGAAGGCGACACACUGGCUCAUUACUGGCGCUGAGGCGCGAAAGCGUGGGGAGCAAACAGGAUUAGAUACCCCCGUAGUCCCUGUCUCUUAUAC
rnacentral:rRNA from 1 species